rnacentral:rRNA from 1 species
GGUCGGUUUGGCCGGAUUUCACACAAGUGUUGCAUGGCUGUCGUCAGCUCGUGUCGUGAGAUGUUGGGUUAAGUCCCGCAACGAGCGCAACCCUCAUCCUUAGUUGCCAUCAGGUAAUGCUGAGUACUUUAAGGAAACUGCCAGUGAUAAGCUGGAGGAAGGUGGGGAUGAUGUCAAGUCAUCAUGGCCUUUAUGGAGUGGGCUACACACGUGCUACAAUGGUGUCUACAAUGGGUUGCAAGGUGCACAAGCCUAAGCUAAUCCCUAAAAGACAUCUCAGUUCGGAUUGUACUCUGCAGCUCGAGUACAUGGAGUUGGAAUCGCUAGUAAUCGUGGAUCAGCAUGCCACGGUGAAUACGUUCUCGGGUCUUGUACACACUGCCCGUCACGCCAUGGUAAUUGGUUUCACUCGAAGCU